UAUCAUUAACUGAAUCCAUAGGUUAAUGAGGCGAACCGGGGGAACUGAAACAUCUAAGUACCCCGAGGAAAAGAAAUCAACCGAGAUUCCCCCAGUAGCGGCGAGCGAACGGGGAGGAGCCCAGAGCCUGAAUCAGCAUGUGUGUUAGUGGAAGCGUCUGGAAAGGCGCGCGAUACAGGGUGACAGCCCCGUACACAAAAGCGCAUGUGCUGUGAGCUCGAUGAGUAGGGCGGGACACGUGGUAUCCUGUCUGAAUAUGGGGGGACCAUCCUCCAAGGCUAAAUACUCCUGACUGACCGAUAGUGAACCAGUACCGUGAGGGAAAGGCGAAAAGAACCCCGGCGAGGGGAGUGAAAAAGAACCUGAAACCGUGUACGUACAAGCAGUGGGAGCACAGGUUUACCUGUGUGACUGCGUACCUUUUGUAUAAUGGGUCAGCGACUUAUAUUCUGUAGCAAGGUUAACCGAAUAGGGGAGCCGGAGGGAAACCGAGUCUUAAU
rnacentral:rRNA from 1 species